UAGGGAAUCUUCGGCAAUGGGGGGAACCCUGACCGAGCAACGCCGCGUGAGUGAAGAAGGUUUUCGGAUCGUAAAGCUCUGUUGUUAAGGAAGAACGAGUGUGAGAAUGGAAAGUUCAUACUGUGACGGUACUUAACCAGAAAGGGACGGCUAACUACGUGCCAGCAGCCGCGGUAAUACGUAGGUCCCGAGCGUUGUCCGGAUUUAUUGGGCGUAAAGCGAGCGCAGGCGGUUAGAUAAGUCUGAAGUUAAAGGCAGUGGCUCAACCAUUGUAGGCUUUGGAAACUGGAAAACUUGAGUGCAGAAGAGGAAAGUGGAAUUCCAUGUGUAGCGGUGAAAUGCGCAGAGAUAUGGAGGAACACCAGUGGCGAAGGCGACUUUCUGGUCUGUAACUGACGCUGAUGUGCGAAAGCGUGGGAAUCAAACAGG
rnacentral:rRNA from 1 species